rnacentral:rRNA from 1 species
UACGAAGGGGGCUAGCGUUGUUCGGAUUUACUGGGCGUAAAGCGCACGUAGGCGGAUCUUUAAGUCAGGGGUGAAAUGCCGCGGCUCAACCGCGGAACUGCCUUUGAUACUGGGGAUCUGGAGUCCGGGAGAGGUGAGCGGAACUGCGAGUGUAGAGGUGAAAUUCGUAGAUAUUCGCAAGAACACCAGUGGCGAAGGCGGCUCACUGGCCCGGUACUGACGCUGAGGUGCGAAAGCGUGGGGAGCAAACAGG